AGCGAACGCUGGCGGCAGGCCUAACACAUGCAAGUCGAACGAACCUUUCGGGGGUAGUGGCGGACGGGGGAGUAACACGUGGGAACGUGCCUUUAGGUUCGGAAUAACUCAGGGAAACUUGUGCUAAUACCGAAUGUGCCCUUCGGGGGAAAGAUUAAUCGCCUUUAGAGCGGCCCGCGUCUGAUUAGCUAGUUGGUUGAGGUAAUGGCUCACCAAGGCGACGAUCAGUAGCUGGUCUGAGAGGAUGAUCAGCCACAUUGGGACUGAGACACGGCCCAAACUCCUACGGGAGGCAGCAGUGGGGAAUCUUGCGCAAUGGGCGAAAGCCUGACGCAGCCAUGCCGCGUGAAUGAUGAAGGUCUUAGGAUUGUAAAAUUCUUUCACCGGGGACGAUAAUGACGGUACCCGGAGAAGAAGCCCCGGCUAACUUCGUG
rnacentral:rRNA from 1 species